rnacentral:rRNA from 1 species
AAUGUAGGCGGAUUGAUAAGUUUGAAGUGAAAUCCUAUAGCUUAACUAUAGAACUGCUUUGAAAACUGUUAAUCUAGAAUGUGGGAGAGGUAGAUGGAAUUUCUGGUGUAGGGGUAAAAUCCGUAGAGAUCAGAAGGAAUACCGAUUGCGAAGGCGAUCUACUGGAACAUUAUUGACGCUGAGAUUCGAAAGCGUGGGGAGCAAACA